GGCUCUAUGGUCUAGAGGUAUGAUUCUCGCUUUGGGUGCGAGAGGUCCCGAGUUCGAAUCUUGGUGGAGCCC